UCCAUCAUGGUGUAGUGGCUAACAUUAUCGCCUCUCAUGUACUUGAAACGCGAUAGCCCAGGGUUCGAUUCCCUGUGAUGGAA